rnacentral:misc_RNA from 1 species
UCCGGGUUGAUCCCGGCGGUCUCGCCAGAAAAGGUAACUGGCGACGAGGGUUGCGCUCGUUGCGGGACUUAACCCAACAUCUCACGACACGAGCUGACGACAGCCAUGCAGCACCUAACCACGAGUUCCCCGAAAGGCACUCUCGCCUUUCGGCAAAAUUCUCGGGAUGUCAAACCCUGGUAAGGUUCUUCGUUUAGCAUCGAAUUAAAGAACAUGAUCCACCGCUUGUGCGGCUCCCCGUCAAUUCCUUUAUGUUUUAGUCUUGCGACCGUACUCCACAGGCGGGAUACUUAACGCGUUAGCUUCGCUACUGAAGGGGUCGAUACCUCCAACAGCUAGUAUCCAUCGUUUACGGCGUGGACUAC